AAGCUGCGAAGAUGGCGGAGUAAGGCGUGCCGCUGCAAACUGGCCUCUGGGCCGGGGGCGAGCAGCCCCCGGGAGGCCGAGUGCAUCUGUUGGACCGUGCGAGGAGAAGAAAAAAAAUAUCGGCCAGAGGAGAGGAACUAACCGAACAUUCUUCCUCCCUACCUUAUAGAGGGGAGUGGUCAUCUACACUAAAGCAAAGUGUUAGGCGCGUCCGUGCGAAGAGACCACCAAACAGGCUUUGUGUUCCUUAUCACAGGAAGAAAAUUUUCCUUGACCUUUAGGUGCUUUUAUAUUCAUCUCAAAAACAAAAUUCUGAACUCAGGACUUGGCAAGUAAGUAAUUGUGGGCUAAUCGUUCCAAAUACUGUUUAAGUAGCUUGAAAACAGGUACAUAGAAGUGGAACAAUAAGCCGUUAGCUUCAGCAGAAGACGAACAUGAAAAAUGACUGUAAGCUAUUGAAAUUUAAGUUAAAUCUUUUAUUUUUCAACAAAAGAAAUGUAUUAAAUAAAAAGGAGUAAUCUUGAUCAUUUGCUCAAACUACCAAUAAUUUUCACUGUCUAAAGAAAACAGACACAUAUUUAAUUAGAUUGAAGGAAAUCAAAUGAUUAAAAAAUAGGCCUGGCCCGGUGGCUCACGCCUGUAAUCCCAGCAGUUUGGGAGGCCGAGGCUGGUCUCAAACUCUUGACUUAAUCCCAAAGUGCUGGGAUUACAGGCAUAUGCCACUGCGCCUGGCCAAGAUCUCAUUCUUUUUUAGGGCUGAGUAACAUAUGCCAUCAUAUAUAUGCACU
rnacentral:lncRNA from 10 species